rnacentral:lncRNA from 10 species
ACUCCCAGGUAAUCACUAUCCUACUAUGUGUCUCUAUGAAUUUGCCUAUUCUAGAUACUUCUUGUGCCUUUUUCCAUAAUUUUUUCUUAUAACCAGCCCUUCUCAUCCAAAGGCCACAAUGAAGUCGAAGAAACCUAUAGAUGACAGCUUUCACAAUCCUUCUCUUGCCUUUUCCUGUACUGACGUAUGUUAGAGAUCUGGCUGGCAGCUUCAAGACACUUGGAAGCAAGAGGGCCACUCUAUUAAGGAUCGCUGAAGUAUGCCCACAUGUCAGGUUUCUCUCAGAUGUGGUAUCAAAACAUCAUUAUGGGCCGGGCACGGUGGCUUACGCCUGUAAUCCCAGCACUUUGGGAGGCUGAGGCAGGCAUAUGAAGAGGUCAAGAGAUCGAGAUCAUCCCGGCCAACAUGAAAUAACAAGAAAGUUAGAAAGUCUUCUGCCUCCCAUCAGAAAAUGAGCUCAAGUGUUGUAUCCAUUGAAAAUGACAUCUGAUGCUAAUCAUCUCUGAGUGAACCCUACAUCUUACAGUAAAUUGCAUAUUGCAAUAAAAAGUGAUCUCUCAUGGUUCUUGAAUUAUUUUUCAUCAUGUUUAGUGCAAUACUGUAAAUCUUGAACAUCACCAUGGGACCCAUAUGAAAUGUCACUAGUGAUGCUGGAAGUGCUCCCAAGAAGCAGAGAAAAAUCAUUACAAAAAAAAGCUGACUUGCUUGAUAUGUACCGUAGAUUGAGGUCUGCAGCUGUGGUUGCCCACCAUUUCAAGAUAGAUGAAUCCAGUGUAAGGACCAUUGUGGUUGGGGGAGGACUUUGUGGAGCCAUCACUGCAGCUACGACAGCAGGCAUGAAAACCUUGAAGUUUCUGUAAAAUAUCUUUUUAUCUUAUAUUUAAAAUACAAUGUGAGUACAGAAUUGCUAUAAGAAAGGCAUACUCUAGUAAGACUUGAAGUCAUUAUAUGACAACUUAAAGCAA